AUUGAACGCUGGCGGCAGGCUUAACACAUGCAAGUCGAGCGGAAACGAUGGGAGCUUGCUCCCAGGCGUCGAGCGGCGGACGGGUGAGUAACACUUAGGAAUCUACCUAGUAGUGGGGGAUAGCUCGGGGAAACUCGAAUUAAUACCGCAUACGACCUACGGGAGAAAGGGGGCAGUUUACUGCUCUCGCUAUUAGAUGAGCCUAAGUCGGAUUAGCUAGAUGGUGGGGUAAAGGCCUACCAUGGCGACGAUCUGUAGCUGGUCUGAGAGGAUGAACAGCCCAACCGGGACUGAGAAGCGGCGCGGACUACGACGGGAGGCAGCAGUGGGGAAUAUUGGACAAUGGGGGGAACCCUGAUCCAGCCAUGCCGCGUGUGUGAAGAAGGCCUUUUGGUUGUAAAGCACUUUAAGCAGUGAAGAAGACCUAACGGUUAAUACCCGUUAGCGAUGACAUUAGCUGCAGAAUAAGCACCGGCUAACUCUGUGCCAGCCGCCGCGGUAACAC
rnacentral:rRNA from 1 species